AGGAGGAGGGGGUUCACAAGAGGGUGGAAUGGAGAGAAUUUGUGUACGAGUGGGGGAGAGUGGAAGGAGAGGAGAGAGAGGAAUGUAUCUGUGCAGCUUUACGGGACAUUGGUCGGGUAGCAUUUGGAGUAUUGCAUACAGU